rnacentral:misc_RNA from 1 species
GAUGAAGAACGCAGCGAAAUGCGAUAAGUAAUGUGAAUUCCAGAAUUCAGUGAAUCAUCGAAUCUUUGAACGCACAUUGCGCCCAUUAGUAUUCUAGUGGGCAUGCCUGUUCGAGCGUCAUUAAGUCCACUUAAGCCCUGCUUAGUGUUGGGAGACUGCUCCAGCGGUGCUACCCUGUAGCUACCCUGCAGCUCCUCAAAGACAGCGGCGGAGUUGUGGUAUCCUCUGAGCUUAGUAACUUGUUCUAGCUUUCGAGUACACCACUUCCCCUGCCGUAAAACCCUUAAUUUUUAAUGGUUGACCUCGGAUCAGGUAGGAAUACCCGCUGAACUUAAGCAUAUCAAUAAGCGGAGGA